rnacentral:rRNA from 1 species
ACUGCUAUCGGGGUGGGACUAAGACAUGCGAGUUGAGCGUCUCUAGCUAUGUUGAGACGCAGCAUACGGCUCAGUAACACGUGGCUAACCUACCCUCAGGACGGAGACAAACCCGGGAAACUGGGGCUAAUAUCCGAUAGGCGAGGAAUCCUGGAAUGGUUCUUCACCCAAAGGGCAUUGGAAACAUGCUUUCUCUGUCGCCUGGGGAUGGGGCCGCGACCGAUCAGGUUGUUGGUGAGGUAAUGGCUCACCAAGCCUUUAACCGGUACGGGCCAUGAGAGUGGUAGCCCGGAGAUGGGUACUGAGACAAGGACCCAGGCCCUACGGGGCGCAGCAGUCGCGAAAACUCCGCAAUGCACGAAAGUGUGACGGGGCUACCCCGAGUGCCGUCCGCUGAGGAUGGCUUUUCCUUGGUGUAACUAGCCGGGGGAAUAAGGAGAGGGCAAGACUGGUGUCAGCCGCCGCGGUAAUACCAGCUCUCCGAGUGGUAGGGAUGAUUAUUGGGCUUAAAGCGUCCGUAGCCGGCUUAGCAAGUUUCCUGUUAAAUUCAGCGACCUAAUCGUUGAGCCGCGGGAAAUACUACUAGGCUAGGAGGCGGGAGAGGUCGACGGUACUUCUGGGGUAGGGGUGAAAUCCUAUAAUCCCGGGAGGACCACCAGUGGCGAAGGCUGUCGACUAGAACGCGCUCGACGGUGAGGGAC